rnacentral:tRNA from 1 species
GGGGUGGUGGCGCAGUUGGCUAGCGCGUAGGUCUCAUAAUCCUGAGGUCGGAGUUCGAGCCUCUCUCACCCCA